rnacentral:rRNA from 1 species
AUUGAACGCUGGCGGCAUGCCUUACACAUGCAAGUCGAACGGUAACAGGUCUUCGGAUGCUGACGAGUGGCGAACGGGUGAGUAAUACAUCGGAACGUGCCCGAGAGUGGGGGAUAACGAGGCGAAAGCUUUGCUAAUACCGCAUACGAUCUCAGGAUGAAAGCAGGGGACCGCAAGGCCUUGCGCUCACGGAGCGGCCGAUGGCAGAUUAGGUAGUUGGUGGGGUAAAAGCUUACCAAGCCGACGAUCUGUAGCUGGUCUGAGAGGACGACCAGCGACACUGGGACGGAGACACGGCCCAGACUCCUACGGGAGGCAGCAGUGGGGAAUUUUGGACAAUGGGCGCAAGCCUGAUCCAGCCAUGCCGCGUGCAGGAUGAAGGCCUUCGGGUUGUAAACUGCUUUUGUACGGAACGAAAAGACUCUGGUUAAUACCUGGGGUCCAUGACGGUACCGUAAGAGUAAGCACCGGCUAACUACGUGCCAGCCGCCGCAGUAAAAC